AUUCGCGAUUGGCUCGGGGAGAAGGUGGAUCGCGCUGCCGCGGCUGCAGCAUCUCCCUGGGAGCCGCACGGGGCGCAUCGUAUCCGGGAGCCGCGACCCUGCGCCCGCGGCCGCUGUCACCAGCCCGGCUGGAGGGGCUCCGCGAUCUCCCACGGAACGGCCAUGCCAAGAAACACCGCCACUGUUGCGACAACCAGGACGAAUCCACAAACACAGGGUUGCGUGAAAGAAGCCAGACACACCAUGAGGACUGAACGAUUCCGCUAAAGAAUAAAGACUCGCCAGGCUGGAGAACAGGAUGGCAGUGCCUCAAAAAGUCAGGCAUAGAUUUGCCAGCUGACCCAGCAGCUCCACUCCAGGGUAUUGACCCCAAAGAAUGAAAGCAGAGCCGUGACGAGACGUUGGCACAUGCAUGGUCGCAGCAGGGUUUCUCACGACGGCCAGAGGGCAGAAGCCACGCAGACGUCCAGGGAUGGGCGAAUGGACGAGCAGAACGUGAUCCAGAUCGUGGAAUAUUACUCAGCCUGGAAAAGGAAGGAGACUCUGACACAGGCCGCAGCCGGAUGAACCUGGAGGACACGAUGCUUGGUGAAAUCAGCCAGACGCAGAAGGACAAAUCCUGAGUGCGGGAACUGCGCUUAGAGGAGGCCUCAGAGGAGUCGGAUCCAAGGGCUGGGCGAGGGGUGCAGGGUUGGGGCAUAACAGGGAGAGCGUUCGCUUGUGAAAAUGGAAAUUUCCGGUGACGGUGAAGGUACUGAAUGCCACAGAACUGGCACGUAACGUGACUAACAGGACUCAAAUCUCAGGAAGACGCUGCGCUCAGAACAUGCUUCCCGCUUGCAAGUCGAAAAAUGCGAGUUCCGACCACGCUCACGCGCGACACUCAGCAAGCUGAAGACCUGGGCGUGCGAGCCAGAGGCCUGGAAUGAGAGACCUAAAAACUGCAGAGGACAAACCACGGAACCGUCCCCGCCGGGAAGGGCUCAGAGUCGGGCUGGAAAAGAGACCCGAUACGCCACGCUGCGGUUAUGCCCACAGGGUCCCCGAAGGAGGGGUUUGGGAGGCGGCCCCGCCACGGCCGGACGGCCUGGCUCCCCAACGGCCCCUGCCCUCACCCUCCAACAGAGCCCACCUGGACAGCCUUUCGGCCCCACACAAGCCUGGAGAGGUCCCCAAAGAGAGAGUUAUGGCUUGUCAAAAGUUUCCACUCUGCCUGCAGAUGGCAGGACCCCGCACACCCGCCCCGUGACCCCUUGUGACCUCCGCUUCCUGAGUCCAGGGACGGGCCCUGAGUAAUUCCGGGAUCUCUGAGCCCCAAGGAGUGGUCGUGAUUUAAGGGUGAUGAGGCCAUGGCCAGGAGCCGUUCGUGACCGGAGGGGCCCGUGCCCUGCCCGGAAAGGCCCCACGCCCCACGUGAGGUCCUUGUGGGGAGUCGCCCUUCACCCUGACUGGCCCUCCUGCCCCACCCCCCAGGGACCUGCCUCCCCAGGCUCGGGGCCAGGACUGUCCCACAGGCCCCCUGAGCUCUGCUGGGUCCAGCUGGGCAGCUCGCAGAAGAGGAAGCUUCUAGGCCCUGGCCGGCCAGCCUCCCGCAAGCCCAAGGCAGGAUUUCCUGCUCUGGGUGGAGAUCAGCCUCUCCCUGGACCCCAACCGGUGAGGUGAGCCCCCCUCUGCAAAGAGGGGUCACCGGGGUGUCCACUCCCCUCACGGUGCCAGAGACUGCAGCCCAGACUGGUGCCCUCGAGGCAGAGACCGCAGGCUUCACACGGCUGUGUGCCCGGCGCUGUGCCCAGCGCCACAGGUGCCUCGAGAAACACUCAGACACGCAGACACACACCCGCAGAGAUGCUCACAGCCGCCAGCCGCCCUCUCAAGUUGCCACUAGGUGGUGCAUGAAAACUUUUGCUUUUUCAACCUCUGUGCCUCUGGUCGAGCACAGUCCAACAAAAAUAUACUAGAGCCGUAAGUGUAAUUUUACAUGAAACGGAAAAUUAACUUAAUAUUGUCUUUUAUUUUAAUCCAACAUAGACAAAAAAAUCAUAAUUCAACCUAUAAUCAACACAAGGAUUUUUUUUUUUUUCUUUUUAGGGCCACACCCACGGCAUAUGGAGGUUCUCAGGCUAAGGGUCAAAUAGGAGCUGCAGCUGCCAGCCUCCACCACAGUCACAGCAACACCAGAUCCGAGCCGCAUCUGUGACCUACACCACACAGAGCUCACGGGAAAGCCGGAUCCUUAACCCACUGAGUGAGGCCAGGGAUCGAACCCGCAUCCCCAUGGAUACUAGUUGGGCUUGUUACCAUUGAGCCACCAUGGGAACUUCCAACAUAAAGACUUAUUAAUUCUGCUGAGUCUUUAAAAA
rnacentral:lncRNA from 1 species